rnacentral:rRNA from 1 species
CGCAUCUGUGCAUGCAUGCAUAUCAAUAAGCGGAGGAAAAGAAACUAACAAGGAUUCCCCUAGUAACGGCGAGUGAAGCGGGAAGAGCUCAAAUUUGAAAUCUUAAAGGGUUUCCCUUUACGAAUUGUAGUGUAAAGAAGUGUUUUUCUGUUGAGGUCUUGGUAAAAGUUCUUUGGAAUAGGACAUCAUAGAGGGUGAGAAUCCCGUAUUUGACCUUUACUUUCAACUUUGUGAUACACUUUCAAAGAGUCGGAUUGUUUGGGAAUGCAGUCCAAAAUGGGUGGUAAAUUUCAUCUAAAGCUAAAUAUUGGCGAGAGACCGAUAGCGAACAAGUACCGUGAGGGAAAGAUGAAAAGAACUUUGAAAAGAGAGUUAAACAGUACGUGAAAUUGUCAAAAGGGAAGCGUUUGACACCAGUGUUGUUUUUUCUGAAAAUCAAUUAAAGAACUGUUUAUGCUAAGUUGUUUAGACUUUAUCAGCUAACUGUUUAGUUUUGAGCUUUUCUUUAAUGCACUUUUCAGUUAACAAGUCAACAUCAAUUUCUUUUGCUGUAAAAAAGCUUGAGGAAGGUGGCUUGAGAUUCGUCUUAAGUGUUUAUAGCCUCUUGCCUAUGCAGUCGGAGAGAUUGAGGUCUGCAGCGUAGAUCCUUCGGGGCUAAAUGCAUUUGUGCUAAGUUAUAACAUUUUAUAGACAACUUGUUGACUAUGAUUUGUCUUGUAGCUUACUCGCUUAUGUUAUUUUACCUACGCUUAGGAUGUUGAACGCGCACAGAGUCUC